rnacentral:lncRNA from 1 species
ACAAACUCCACUAAAACUCUCUCAAUCAUCCAAAAUCGCAGCUGAAAUCACAAGUUCGAGCAGAUUGUUCAGCCUUCACUAAAAAGGACUUGGUGUUCCAACCUCCUAAUCAACAACAACUCACUCGCGGAUUCACAAGUAGAAGACUUGCAAAACCGAAUUUGUAUGGGACCAUGUCGAGACGGACUCGAGCACGAGAGGCUAACGGGUCAAGAAGAGAGGCAAGAGAGUGGAUACGAGCGCAGAUGCAUAAGGUAAGUGACUUCCGACUCACUUCUUAGUAUACAUGUAGAAUUUUCUUGUUUAUGGAUGAGAGGAAAUUAUGUAUGGGUAUGUAAUGAAUGAAGGUGUUAAGAUAAGUAUUGAACUAGUUAGACGAAGGUAGUUAUCUAAGUAGAAGGUAAUUGUGGGAUUAAACGGGUCGAAUAAAUAAGUAUAAGUAAGGUAACGGUUAUGAAAUCCGUAAUGAUUAAGGACCCGGGGUAAGGAUUCUUAGUCUAAUAUGUAAGGAAUUGUUUUACGGACAUUUAGGAACAAGUUUCGAGUGAUUUGGACGCGAAAUGAACAAGUUAUGAGUAUUUUGUUAACAAAUUGGAAAGCUGAACUGGGGACUACCGUAGCUUACGGUAGCCACCGUAAGCUACGGUAGGUGCUGGGUCUUUGUUUCUGCCGUAAGGCAGUAGGAAGGCACCGUAAGACUUUUGGGGCCACCGUAAGCUACGGUAGCCACCGUAGCUUACGGUGGAGGUCAGAUGCAAAAUAUAAAGUUUAUGUAAUCCUUCGUUUUUCUUCGAAUUCGAACCCCGUGAACCCAUUCCAAGCCUCGAUAAGUUUUUAUAAUGCACCUCAACCCUACCAAAUGGCUUGGUAAGUUACGGGUAAAUAUGGAACUCAAUUUUUAAGAUCCAAAACGUACACGAAAGACACUUAAAAAGUGUAUAUGACGUCUGAGUAAGAACGUGACGAGAGAGUGAGUAUGCGGGAAAUGAAUUAAGUAUGUGGGAAUGUAUGUAUAGAUUUAACUUCAUACCAAUAGCUGUAACUUAUACGUAAUUAUGAAUAGGAGUGUGUAUGUAUAUAAUAUUGUUCGUACAUGUCUUAUUACAUGGUGCUUUGUAAUUAGGAUACGUUAGUAAAUCAUCUGGAAUUAUGUAAGUUGUAUGUGAGAGCUUGUAUAUACGUACGUAUGUAUGUGUGUAUGUAUUAUGUGAUCAAAAGUAUACAUACGGAUGUGCGUAGGUACGAAGUAGUUUUGAUUGUACAUGAAGGAAUGGGGCUUGUAUAUACGUAUACAUAGCUUCAAUAUGUUUGAGUACUAAGUUACUAAUCAUUUGCCUUGAGAAUGAAAUGAAAUUUGCAGGUAUGCUAUUGAAGUCCAUUGUGAAGUUUUGAGGAAUUGGAAUGCAAGAUUGUACUCGGAAGGAUGAUCGAAAAGUCUUGCACGAAUAGAAAGUUUGCGGCGUGGUCAAUUAAUUAUGUAUGAUAGAUUAUGAAUGUAGAUUAUCAAAUUUUAAUGAUGUGUGUAUUUGUGGUGUAUGUAGGAUACACGGACUAACAUCGGUAUAAAGUAUUGGAGGAUUGAAGAUCGAGUCAAGGGCAAGAAUUGUACGGGAAGAGCAGUCACAUAUCUGGGGAUCGUAUAUGUAAUUGAUGUGAUAAUCAAGAAUAAACGUUGUAAAUCUUUUAAUAAAAUGUGGGUUAUUCUAGAAACGAACUUACAAAUAAGUUAUAUAAGUAAUAUAGAAAGAAAUUUUU